rnacentral:rRNA from 1 species
UACAGAGGUGGCAAGCGUUGUUCGGAAUUACUGGGCGUAAAGGGCGCGUAGGCGGCCCGUCAAGUCGCGUGUGAAAGCCCCCGGCUCAACUGGGGAGGGUCACGCGAUACUGAUCGACUGGAAGGCAGGAGAGGGUAGUGGAAUUCCCGGUGUAGUGGUGAAAUGCGUAGAUAUCGGGAGGAACACCAGUGGCGAAGGCGACUACCUGGCCUGUUCUUGACGCUGAGGCGCGAAAGCUAGGGGAGCAAACGGG